rfam:Folsomia candida strain VT population Fcan01_Sc001, whole genome shotgun sequence.
GAGAUCAUACUUCCAAGCAUCAUUUCUUUAGUCUGAUUGCUCAAACCCUACCCAACAAAGGCGAAGGAACAAACCACGAGGAAGCUUUUUCUUUUAAACUUGAGACGAAGCUCUUCUGAGCAUGCGACGGGCUCAAAUUGAUCUUAGGAUCGACUAAUGGUUAGGUCCAUAAUGACUGUUCAGCCCUCUUUUUCGGAGAAGGCCGACAGGGUGGAGGCAUAAGUGGU